GUAGGUGGCAAGCGUUGUCCGGAAUUAUUGGGCGUAAAGCGCGCGCAGGCGGUUCUUUAAGUCUGAUGUGAAAGCCCACGGGCUCAACCGUGGAGGGUCAUUGGAAACUGGAGAACUUGAGUACAGAAGAGGAAAGCGGAAUUCCACGUGUAGCGGUGAAAUGCGUAGAGAUGUGGAGGAACACCAGUGGCGAAGGCGGCUUUCUGGUCUGUAACUGACGCUGAGGCGCGAAAGCGUGGGGAGCAAACAGGAUUAGAUACCCUGGUAGUCCACGCCGUAAACGAUGAGUGCUAAGUGUUUGGGGGUUUCCGCCCCUUAGUGCUGCAGCUAACGCAUUAAGCACUCCGCCUGGGGAGUACGGCCGCAAGGCUG
rnacentral:rRNA from 1 species